UAUAUCGGUAGUUUCUUCCUAAUACAUUUCUGCUCCACUAUUCUACACAAAUUGAGAGGUUAGGUUUAGAUUUUCUGUUUCAUUGGAAAGAAAUGAGUUCCGGUGGAGGAUAAGGCAAGGGCGAUGGCACGCCGGUAGAGGGAAGCCUAAGGCAUCAAAAUCAGUGUCUAGGUCUUUAAAAUUGUAAUCAAAGUGUCUCAAAAGAUGUUGAGAUGUGACAUUUUUUUCACUUGUUUUUGUUCGAUUGAAUUCAAAUUUACUCCAAUUUAUGUGAUAUGGUUUGGAUCUGGAAUAGUUUUGAUAUUUGUGGUUUUAAACAUGUUAUAACAUAACAGUUGUGAUUAUAAGACUUGGAACUCGCGGUUUUAGAUCUGCUGAAUGUGUUGGUGCUGUACUUGAUUUGGUCAAUUGAAUUCAAAUUUAUUCCAAUUUCGUGCGAUUGUUUUACUUGUUUUGGUCAAUUGAGUUCACAUUAAACUUGAAUUUAUGUGAUUUUUGGUCGUCGAAUUCAAACUUGCUCCAACUUAUGUGAUUUUUUAAGUUGAUUUUGGUGGAUUGAGUUCAAAUUUACUCCAGUUUUGUGUGAUUUUUACUUGAUUUGGUCAAUUGAAUUCAAAUGUAGUCCAAUUUAUGUGACCUGUUACUUGAUUUUGGUCAAUUGAGUUCAAAGUUACUCUGAUUUAUGUGGGUUUUUUUUACAUGACUUGGUCGAUUGAAUUCAAAUUUACUUCAAUAUAUGUGAUUUCUGCUUGAUUUGGUCGAUUGAAUUCAGAUUUACUCCAAAUUACGUGACAUAAACUGGAGCGGGUGCACUGAUUAAUUUGGUUUCAUUUGACUUCUGAAUUCAUCUAUUAGACAGUUUUCUGUUUUGUUAUUUAAAAUGGAAUUUGUGUGAUUGAUUCAAGUUUAUAGUUGGGUAAGAUAUUUUGAUAAUGGAUUGUGACAAACAUUUGAUGAGCCUAUAAAGAUGUUUACUUGAUUUGGCCGAUUGUAUUUAAACUUAAAUGAUUUGGUUUCAUCUGACUUGUGAAUUCAUCUAUUUGGCAGUUUAGAGAUUUGAUAUUUAUUUAUGCUAUGGAGAUUUUGUUUGCUCUUAAUCUGUUGUGAUUGUGGGUGUAUAAACUUUGUUAACGAGUUACUGCUAGGAUUCUAUGAUUAAUUUAUGUUAUUGAUCAGAUAAAGAUA